UGGGGAAUAUUGGACAAUGGGCGAAAGCCUGAUCCAGCCAUGCCGCGUGUGUGAAGAAGGUCUUCGGAUUGUAAAGCACUUUAAGUUGGGAGGAAGGGCAGUAAGCGAAUACCUUGCUGUUUUGACGUUACCGACAGAAUAAGCACCGGCUAACUCUGUGCCAGCAGCCGCGGUAAUACAGAGGGUGCAAGCGUUAAUCGGAAUUACUGGGCGUAAAGCGCGCGUAGGUGGUUCGUUAAGUUGAAUGUGAAAGCCCCGGGCUCAACCUGGAAACUGCAUCCAAAACUGGCGAGCUAGAGUAGGGCAGAGGGUGGUGGAAUUUCCUGUGUAGCGGUGAAAUGCGUAGAUAUAGGAAGGAACACCAGUGGCGAAGGCGACCACCUGGGCUCAUACUGACACUGAGGUGCGAAAGCGUGGGGAGCAAACAGG
rnacentral:rRNA from 1 species